rnacentral:rRNA from 1 species
AUAUAAUCUUUAAUAAUAGACAAUUAAAUAUUUAAUAAAUAAAAAAAAAAAAAAAAAAAAGUAAAAUCAUUGCUUAAAUAUUAGUAUAAAUAUUAUUUUUAUAACUUGUGUAGUAAGUUAGUUAAUAAUUUUUGUAGUAGAAAUAUUUAUAAAAUUAGUUAAAUUUGUGCCAGCAUCUGCGGUUAGACUAGGAAUUUGAUUAAUAUUGUUUAGAGUUUAUAAUAAAAGGCAUUUAUAAAAUAAAUUUUGGUGGAAUAAUUUGUAGAGGUUUAUAAUUUAUUUAAUUAAUAUAAUUUUGAUAAAAGCAGGAUUAGAUACCCUGUUAUUUUAAUUUAAUUUUUUCUAAGGAUUAAUGUUAAAUUUAGAAGAUUUGGCGGCUGAGAUAAAUUAAAGGGGUUUGUUUUUUAUUUGAUGUGACUCAUUUUGUUUUACUUAUUUUAUUUAGUAUAUCGUCAUUUAGGUAGUUUAUAAUUAAUUAACUAUUGUAAGGUGUUUAAAAAAAUUAGAUCAAGGUGCAGAAAUAGAUAAGGAUAAAUUAACUACAAUAAAAUAUUAUUAAACUUGCUUUUUUUAAAUUAAAAAUGAAGGUGGAUUUAAUUGUAAUUAAAAUUAUAUGAAAUAUAUUUUAGUGUACAAAUUGCCCGUCAUUCUCUGUGAGACAAGUCGAAACAAAGUAGGACUAUCGGAAGUUGGGCCUA